ACGACCGGUACCAGCGGUGUCAAGAUCGGCCUCUGUGGAGGAGGCUCGUGAAGGACGCUGCUACUGGGCAGUUGGAGGCAGUCGCCCUCCAACAACAGCGGAGGGACGAGGAGCUUCGCUCGUGGACGCAGACGCAGUUGCACGGCCUGCGCACUCGAUAGCUACGCCACGUGCACAGUAAAGAUUCCGUUACGCGUGGUAAACAACAACAACAACAAAAAAGAGAGAGCGGCUGAACCGUCACAAACGCGCGAUGCAGUGGCGUAGCUGUGGAGUGUGCAGGCGGUGCAACUGCGACCCGGAGCUCAGGCACCGGGCUAUAAAGAGCAUCAUGAGAUAGGCGCCGUCAUUUCAUUCGUCACAGCAGAGCCAAUGCCAUCCACGCUACGCUACACACUUCCAGGGAAACUCACGAGGGACAGCUCUUUUGUUUUUGUUUUUACCGGCAGAGAAAUAGGACACCUGCCUGAGAUCAACAGCGAAUGCUGCCACUGCCCGGGGUAUUGCAUGCACGACGAAAGCGUCUCCCUCUUCUGUGCAAGGCGCCCAUCCAUCCCACUCGCAUACGAGCGUUUGCCGUCUCCUGCCGAGCCACCACCGAUUCCUGGUGACUCAACGUUCCCUCGACCUCCGGCGCGUCCGUUUCUCCUUCAACACCACCGCCGCGGCCCGUACCAGGUUUCCAAGCUCAAGCGUGGCAUCUGCCGAGGUGCGCCGGCAUCCGACCGCUGCUGCGCCAGCUAAGCCAACAGGAAAAGAUAUGUGCUUGUGUGUGUCUGUGCGUGUGUGUGUCUGUGCGUGUGUGUGUGCGU